rnacentral:rRNA from 1 species
GAUGAACGCUGGCGGCGUGCCUAAUACAUGCAAGUCGAGCGAAUGGAUUAAGAGCUUGCUCUUAUGAAGUUAGCGGCGGACGGGUGAGUAACACGUGGGUAACCUGCCCAUAAGACUGGGAUAACUCCGGGAAACCGGGGCUAAUACCGGAUAACAUUUUGAACCGCAUGGUUCGAAAUUGAAAGGCGGCUUCGGCUGUCACUUAUGGAUGGACCCGGGUCGCAUUAGCUAGUUGGUGAGGUAACGGCUCACCAAGGCAACGAUGCGUAGCCGACCUGGGAGGGUGAUCGGCCACACUGGGACUGAGACACGGCCCAGACUCCUACGGGAGGCAGCAGUAGGGAAUCUUCCGCAAUGGACGGAAGUCUGACGGAGCAACGCCGCGUGAGUGAUGAAGGCUUUCGGGUCGUAAAACUCUGUUGUUAGGGAAGAACAAGUGCUAGUUGAAUAAGCUGACACCUUGACGGUACCUAACCAGAAAGCCACGGCUAACUACGUGCCAGCAGCCGCGGUAA